ACCCCCUUCGCGCGGGGCCGGCCCGGCGAGGCUUCGGGGCGCGCGCGGCGUGGGACCCGGCUGCCGGCGAGCCAAGGCUGGGAAACGCGGCGUUCCUGCCGGCUCCGCGGGAGUGCGUGGAACUCUGCCCCCGGCGCUGGGGAGGAGGCUCGGCUGUCCGGGGGGAAGCUAAGGAAUGCCCUUUGUUUAGACAACUUUUCCAGAGAUCUCGGGCCCUUCUCUCCGAGGUGCCCUUGUCUCGGAGGUCAAGGUCAUUCGUUUCUGCCUUUCAGAGGCUCGAGGGUACCCGGAGUGGUGGCGGGUUCCCUCAUCCCGCCCGGCCAGCGGGAGAGCCUGGUACCUGCCUUGCCAGCCCCAGAGACAGGGACGGGUUCUCAGAGCCCUGGGGACUCCUGAAGGGACUUUGCCACUUUCUUCACACCUGGGAGGAAGUAGCCUUAAAGGGCUUCACCUGCCAACGGAGCUUUCUUUCUCUUUCCACCCAGAGGGAGAAUCUUCUCAGCAAUGCUCAUCAGGAAGAACUCACUUUUCUAGGCAAAGCCAUGAGGUGUAGAAAAAUCAAGCAGUAGGUGGCGGAGUCAGGAUUCAGACCCGAGAGAAAGGGCCAUGUGAAGAGAGAGUGAGAAGAUAGUCAUCAGCAAGCCAAGGAGAAAGGCCUCUGCAGACACCAAAUCUGCUGACACUUUAAUCCUGGACUUCCAGCUUCCAGAACAAGGAAGAAUAAAUUUCUGUGG